UGCUGAUGAUAUUUCUUAGGACGCCUUCUGAAACGACUUUUCGUUUGUGAGAAUAACCAAGAAACUGACG
rnacentral:snoRNA from 14 species